AUGGAGGCGGGGCAGCUGCGGGAUGCAGGGCACUGUGGUUGGGAUGAGGUGUGGAUGCAGGAUCCUGUCCAGAUCAGGAGAUGGGGUGGCCCUAGCGGCGACGACGAAGCAAAGGCGACGGAUGACGAGGUUCUGCUACAGGGCGUCUCACUAGACGUCUGCAGCGGUGGCUCCUGCAAAAUGGCAGCGGCGCGGCUGAUUAGCCUCGCGUGGCGGCGCCUCACCAUGGUGCGCUGGGUUUGCACGGACGCGACGGACAGCGCCACCUCUUUCCAUUCGAUUGCACGGACGCGAGCGGCGCGGCGGGAUUUGGGUGUGGCGGCAAACAACUCUGAAGUUCAGCGCGGGCUAGCGAGGGGACCGAACGCCAGCGAAGCCAGCCGUCGAUCCAGCGAGCGGGGAGCAGAUCCUGCGCGAGGGGAGGCCGGGAGCAGAUCCAGCGAGCAAGAAGCCGAUCCAGCCGACGAGGGGAUCCAUCAGUCGCGGGCGAUGCGGAUGAAUCGGGGGCCUGCCGAUCCACUCGACGCGGUCGAACCGCCUGCGUGGAAAGGGUGA
rnacentral:rRNA from 1 species